rnacentral:rRNA from 1 species
GCCUAGGAAUCUGCCUGGUAGUGGGGGAUAACGUUCGGAAACGGACGCUAAUACCGCAUACGUCCUACGGGAGAAAGCAGGGGACCUUCGGGCCUUGCGCUAUCAGAUGAGCCUAGGUCGGAUUAGCUAGUUGGUGGGGUAAUGGCUCACCAAGGCGACGAUCCGUAACUGGUCUGAGAGGAUGAUCAGUCACACUGGAACUGAGACACGGUCCAGACUCCUACGGGAGGCAGCAGUGGGGAAUAUUGGACAAUGGGCGAAAGCCUGAUCCAGCCAUGCCGCGUGUGUGAAGAAGGUCUUCGGAUUGUAAAGCACUUUAAGUUGGGAGGAAGGGCAGUUACCUAAUACGUAAUUGUUUUGACGUUACCGACAGAAUAAGCACCGGCUAACUCUGUGCCAGCAGCCGCGGUAAUACAGAGGGUGCAAGCGUUAAUCGGAAUUACUGGGCGUAAAGCGCGCGUAGGUGGUUUGUUAAGUUGGAUGUGAAAUCCCCGGGCUCAACCUGGGAACUGCAUUCAAAACUGACUGACUAGAGUAUGGUAGAGGGUGGUGGAAUUUCC